CACAGUAAGUGUGUAUCGAUUUACGAACUGGGGAGAAUGUCAGUUUGACAUGGACGGUUGCAAGCGUGCGGUUGUUUUGCGGUAAAAUUACGGUUAAAGGCAAACGCCAAACGUUCGUUUUUUUUAAUUUUUUUCGUUACGUUCGGCAUUUUUUUUUGUUAUUUUCGGUUGUAUGAAAAAUUUUUGGGGCUAGACCGGCAUUUUAUGAAUUCGAUAGCUGAGAAAAGAAAAUAUAAAAAAGAAAAACGAGAUUAUUUGCUAAUUAAAUUUAAUUAAAGCCCUACUCCUAAUAAUGUUUGUGUUUAGUGGGGUUCGUGUGUGUGUGCGUGCGUGCGUGUGUGUUUUGUGUUAAUUGAAGUCUAAGUGAAGAUGUUUGUUUGUUAACAACAACCGGUUCCUUUUGGCAACAAGAAGAAGAAGAAGAAGCAUAGAAUAUCCUCUUGAGUGAUCUUCGGUUAUUAAGGUGCCGGUCUUUUUUGGUUUUUGUUUUUGUUGAUAUGGCCUAUCAAAGCAAUAAAAGAUAUAAAUACAAACAAAAAUUGUGCAAGAAUAAAUAACAACAACAAAUACGCAACGUGAAAAAAGGAAAUUAUCAGCAGGCGUUUAACUCAUACCAUUUUCUACCUACAUAGCUACCAGCAACCAACCUGUCUGCGGGCAUACGGGCAAAAAAUAAAAGCAGAGCAGUAACAACAAAUUUUUGUAGAAAACUAGUGCCAAGAUCAGUGUCAACGUAUGCGCCAACUGAGGCAGCCGUCGGCAAAUGUAAACAUAACAGAGCAAGAAACAGACAAGAGAAACAAGAACAAGAAGAAAAAAAAACACACACACAAAACAAAUGACAAAAGGAGACAUCAGGCCACACUUGCAAUAACAGAAACAACAACACCAAUAAUAAUAAUAAACAUCAUUAAGAGAAUAGCGGCAGCAAGCAACAGCAACAACAUACGAUCAAAACGAAACAUAACAAGGGUCGCAAAGGCAGAGUUUUUUUACUUGAGAGAGAGCAAAGAAUAAUUAAGAGACUCCCUCCCUUAGUGGAAAAAACUAAAAGAAGAGAGAGAGUAAAUAUGAGAUAUUAUUUCACACAUAAAAGGAAGCAAAAGGAAUAACAAAGGAGAUAGCACAUUGUUGAAUGACAUUCAAUGAAUGUAUAAACAGGAGAGUGGCGCUGUACUCAGAGACAUUAUAUGGCCAAUUAAAAACAACAAUAGUGGUAAAGGUCAACAAAAUUAACUUCUCAUGCUGAGAAGAGGGAAGAAAAAUAAACAAGUGACCUCCCCC